rnacentral:tRNA from 1 species
CGGGGCGUGGCUCAGCCCGGUAGAGCACCUGGUUCGGGACUAGGGGGUCGCGAGUUCAAAUCUCGCCGCCCCGACCA